UUUCAUUCCAAGACAUGCAAAACAAGUUUACAAGGCUUCUGUGGCCGUCCUGACUGCUGAAGCAGGGUGGAUUUUCUGAUAAAUCAGGUUCUUUGUCUCUAAUCAGGACAGAUAUAUUUUGAUCUUUCCUGUUGUUUAAAUCCUUGCAGGCUGCAGUAUGUUAUACAUACUGUCUGCUGAGGUGUCUAUUUUAAGCCAAAGAGAAAAGACAACUAAAGCCUGUGGUUUUCAACUGAAAACCACCUUAUCAUUUAUCAAUCAUCUUUCAUCACGCUUCAGAGAUGUUAAGGAAUGGUUCUUGCGUGGCUGUCAAUAGUGAUGUAGCGUUGUUGAGACAUAUGCAUAGGAAAAAGGGCAGAUAACUAUUACUUUUUUACAUUCUUAAUGAAAGCACAACCAUACCCACCUCCAUCUUCCAAUUUUUGUACCUGUACAUGGUUUAAGAAUUUCCUAAAGUUAUUGACAAGCACUCAGCAAAACUGCUACUUCAUGGAAUAAUUUACACACCUUUGUUAGACUCCUCUGAAUUCUUCAGUGUUCUGCAGUCUUGGCUCAUUUUAGAAUUUAUUUAGAAAUAAUAAACUUUGUGUUAAAGCUCUUAUAAUGUUACUGAUUUUUUUGAAGAUUCAAAGCUGGUCUCCAUGGCUGUUGCGAAUCAUGGUAUUGAUGCAGUCACGAUGUAAAAAAGGCAAAUUUUUUGUAUUGACGAGGAGAAGCAAGCCUGUGCAAUCUGCCAAUAUAGCUGUGUUCCCUCCACUUGUGCCUCAGCUCUGGCUGCUACAUUCAAGAAAAAUAUGGACCCGGUGGAAGGAGUCCAACAAAGAAGAGGCCCCAAGAAGAACAAUGAGAGCCCACUGCAAGCUGGAUCUCUGACUGGACAGCGCAUCCUUUACCUUGUGCACAGGUCAGCAUCGCUCAGAGAAGGCGGCUGAUGGAGACGCCGGCUAGCACCUGGGCGAUGUUUCUCCAUUUGGCGUUAAAUGUUCCAGUGUUUUACAGCAUUUUGGGGCAACAGAAAGGGGAAAAGCGAAGGAAAGAGUUUCAGUUUUUUCAAUGUGGAACCUGCUUUGCUGCAAUUUUCAGAGAGACCUGUUCUGAAGCGCAGACAUCCACAUGCAUCACACAGGGAGCCUGUUCCGGAUGUUGUUCAUUCCAUAAGGUCAACAGAGGAGAUCCAGUAUGAAAAAGGGGAGACAGAGAGGGAGAAGGAGAGGGGAUCAAACCUCCCCAAGGUGCGGCAGGUUCUGGUAUUCAGAGCUUUAUCGAUCUGGCCAAAAUACGUGCUGAGCUCUAUAAGGCCCAUAAGAGGCUUCCCGACUUCUCUGUACAUACUGCGCAUUAUCCAUUUCACCACCUGUACAGAGUGGAAAACCAAAGCUUGGCCUGGUCCCCAAAAAGGCUAGCAAGCCUUCUGCAUCCAUUAUAGCAAGGAGCACCUGCUGCUCCCAGAAGAGCCCAGAUUUGGAGCAACGCUUCCUGCCUAGGGGCAGGCUGCGGCCCCUGCCUUGCUCACACAUUGGCAGCACUCUGCUAUCCUUUGCCAGAGGAAAUUUCAGGGUGCCGGUUAAACCACUGCAAGUUUUGAGCUGCACGCUGCUGUUCUCACAGUUUGCAGGAACUGGGAAUGAGUGUUGUUGAGAUAGUUAAGUGCAGUCAUUACGAGAGGAAUUAGGUGCUUUUAACUCUCUGGAUUUUCAGGCUCCUCUGUUCAAGACCAACUCUCAACCAGCUAUAAAGGUGAACGAAAGAACAACAAUAACCACACAGCCCAUGAUUUAAAUCUUGAUUGAAAAACCUUUCUGAAUUAAUUUCAUCACUUAGAAUCUGUACACAAACACGUGCAACAGAACCAGCCGAAGCGUCUGCGGUGGGAGAUCAUGCAUCCCGGAAGCUAGGCUGGAUGGGCUAUUCCAUUGUAUAUAUUUAUGGAUCCGAGUGGAACCCUCAGGGUAAACGUGAACGAAGAAUAGACUGUUUUUUCCUAAAGCAUCUGGGUGUAAGCCUUAUUUCGCCAGCAACCGUGGUGUUUAUGGGCAUGUUUUACUGGAAACCUGCUGCUUCUCACAACGUUUCCUGAGUGACUGUCUUAGUAAAACUGCAUCUGGAAAUGACAAGCACACAGCUGUAAAUCUGAAAAGCAGUGUGCAGCCCUAAUAGCUAGCAGCCUUGAAAAGAUUUACAAAGACAAAAGUAGAGCAAUGAAUACGUUUCUGAGCGUCUGUGAUCACAUUACACCUCUUCCUCUUCAAAGAUUUUUUGUAGCCCUAGAAAAAGAUAUCAUUGCUCUUUCAGUUAAUGCCUUAGGCAGAUAACCAUGUUCGGUUACCUGCCAGAGCACCCAAAAUUUCUGCCCUGUACCUACUUUCCAAAACAAUGGUCAGUAGGGCAAUACAUUCCCCUCCUCAUUUUUUUUCCCACCUGAAUUAGACCCCUUGACAAGAGGGAGGCCAUGAAAUGAGUCACAAGAGGGAGGGGAGCAGGGAAAGAUGAAGAAGAUUUGUCCUUGUCAUUGUCAAGUCCCCUAAGCAGUAAAGUCCCGAAUCUGCUCUGGAUGCCAAAUCUGACGAAGUCUCAAAGUGUGAUCGCAUGGAAACGGUCACAGGAGGGGAGCGUGUGGUCACAACGGGUGCACCUUGCAAUAGUGCUGACCAACUGGGAUGAAGUAUCCGUUAGGCUAGUUAGCACCAAUAAGCAUUGGAGCCAAGGAUUUGAAAUAUAAACAACAUGGUAAAUUGCCCAACACGGCCAAUAUACCUGCUAGCUUCAACAUAAAAAAGCUGGGAAAUAAAUUAUUCAUGGAUGUCCUGGAGGGCCUCCA
rnacentral:lncRNA from 1 species